rnacentral:rRNA from 1 species
AGAUUGAACGCUGGCGGCAUGCCUAACACAUGCAAGUCGAACGGGAGUAGCAAUACUCUAGUGGCGGACGGGUGAGGAAUACGUAGGAAUUUGCCCUUAAGUGGGGGAUAACCCGGGGAAACCCGGAUUAAUACCGCAUGACUUCGAAAGAGCAAAGUGGGGGAUCGCAAGACCUCACGCUUUUGGAGAAGCCUACGUCGGAUUAGCUAGUUGGUGAGGUAAUGGCUCACCGAAGGCGACGAUCCGUAACUGGUCUGAG